AGUCCUUUUUCACCAUGAUAGCAUUUUAUCUGCAUUUUUGUCGUCUACAUACUUUGAUCUCAUGAGAGAUGCCUAAAAGUUAACACUUAAUUCUUUGCUUCACUGCAACUGUCGAUGAGUGCUGAUAGCAAUUUCCCAUCUGUCGCAGGGAAAAUUUUGAAAAGUUACUACUUUCGUUUUACCUUUACUGGAAGAAUAACGAGGCAUUUUAUAUAUUGGUGCAGAUAUCGUAAGCAAUAAAGUUGAAUAUUUUGUAGUGAACAGUUUAAAUUUACCAGUUUACCAUAGGUACAAGGAGGAGCUUUGCACUGAACACCAGCUUUGUUUACAAAUAAAUGACAGAUUCUGUCAUUAACAGGUGAUAAAUCAGAGUUAGGCCUCCCUGACGUCAUAAUCCGACCAAAAUUAUGUAUACCUGCCGGUAGACGAUUAGUUUCGCCCUAGAAAAAGAAGUAAACUGUAACAUAUACUGAUCUUAUAGUCUGUAAAAGUAUAUAGUCUACUGAAAAUGAUAACAGUUAGCGAAAAUUACGGUGAAAUGUUCAUCAUAUACAAUGUCAAGAAUCAAGAACCUGGCAACUUCGCCAGCUCCCCAGCGGCGGUGUUAGCCUAUCAAGUAACAAACUACAAAAUAACAAUUACAUCAGUCUUCAUUGGAGUGGUGACCAAUGGUGAUGUGUGUGGUAAAACGAAAAUGACCAUGGUUGAAGCCUAGUUCGUCUGCUUAUGGUGUUAAUAGGUAUCUCCCAAAGAAACGAGGAAGCAACGGUAGCUCUAGGAACGCCUCUGAUAAUGGAAAAAACAUUCAAGAUGAACUGCCCCAGCGGCUUCCUUCUGACCGCGAAUAGAAAAGAAGACUGCCUGGUUGUGAGCAAGGCUGAUUUCACCCACAACCACGAAACAAGCCGGUCAAUUCUUUUCAUAUGUUGUAUUAAUUAAAAGAUCAAAUUGACAGUGUAGUCAUUGUGUAAGCAAAAUGGCCAACUCCUAGAGUAACUGUCAAACUCUGUUAAUUAAUGAUAUAAGACAAUGCAGACAAGUGGCCGAGGGAGCAGAGGCAAUUUUCGUCACACUACGGUGGUAAUCCAGCGGUCAAAUGUCUUCACAUAUCCAAGCAAUGCCCGAUGCUGUGUGUGAAAUCCCCGCAUUUCCAAGACACCCAAGCUCUGCCUCAGUUGAAGCUAGACCUAAAGCAAGGUGGACGCGCCUUCUCUCCUCCUCUGACGGGAAGUCAGCCCUUUGUCCAAACACUUGUGGGACUAUCUUCAGAGCACGACACAUGUCCAAGCCUCAAGGAUUUACGAUUUGCUGAGUCAAGUGUCCAAGUCUUCACGCCCGCAAGUGCUGCAUUACCGCAAGAUAAUAUGAAUAAUUUUGAAAGCCAGUAUUUAGGUGAAUCUCAUUUUAGCCAGCUAUCCCCUUGUGAGAGAUAAUAUUGGUCCCCGUGCGUACAAGCUGCAUUUACUCUUU